ensembl:lncRNA
UGAAAGUUAGUUUUGCCUGUUACUCCCAAUUGCUUCAAGAUUAAUUCAAUCGGAUAGAACGUGAUAAGAGUUUAAUUGAUUUGUUCUGAAAGGGCGUGGGCCUUGCUUGUUUUGUCUCGAACAUAGUUUACUAUCAGGCCUUCGUUCCCCCUCGCUGAUUGUGAUAAUCUUUUUCUGAUGUGGGCCUAGAAGACCUAACCAGGGAGAAGAAAGAGAGAGAGAGCGACGGACCUCUGCGGGGAAAGGAGGCCACUGAAAUACUAGUGAGGAAGUUUGCAGAAAACCUCUCAGAAGAAAAGCAGCAAACGCCAAAGACGAAGAGAAGGCUUUAUGGAUAGAGAAACAGAGGCUGGUCAUCUCCAGAAUGAAUAGAAGGCUUGUACUUACAGUCCUGGCCCUGAAUGUUGUAACCAAUGAAAUCAAGGUAUCCACCUCCCAACCUCUCACACCAUCCAACUCCACUCCUGCUACCUUCAUUCCCCCUGCUCCCACCACUUCCUGUGUGUGUAAAGUCUCCACUUCCUGUUCCUCUCCGACCCAGCCCGAGUCUCCGCCACCUGCGCUGGGUGUUAUCAAGGUCAAAUGGGAAGAAAAGUCCUGUAAGGGGGAUGUACACCUGUCUCUCCUCUCGUCCCAUUCCUUACCAGUCUGCUUUAACAGUCUUACCCAUCGUAGUCUUCAUCGUGCAGGGCUGUGUAAGAGGAAGGGCUGCGAGGGCUCCCCAACGUGGACUAAGAUCAAUCCUAAAGCUUUGGGUUACCAGAUCAGUACGAAUGGAAGUGUUGCCAACAACCCCUGUACAACACUGGGGAUCCAAUGCGACGUCGUCUCAGAUCAGUUAGUGGGCUAUAAGGUGGUGACUGGUCUACUGUGUGUUCUGGUGCUGGUGGUGCUGAUGGUGCGUUUCGGGCAGCCCUCCCUCAAGGCCCUCCGUAGGAGACUGUCAGACAAGAGGCAGAGUCGGUGGAUCGGACCUACGCAGAGCCAAAGUGUCUCCUACCAUAGAGGGAAGGCUGGACUCCAACUUAACGACAACACAGACAAGAGACACUCCUACCCUGGAUUGGAGAGGCUGACGGUGAACACCAGCCGAGAGCCUUCGUCUAACAGAAACAGUGAUUAUGACUCUUAUAACUUGUGAUCAUCAUCAUCAUCAGUCAUAUCCUUCACCCACAAUGACAAUACACUGUACAUGUAUUUUUCAUAUUUUAUUAUAUUUUUAUAUUUUUUUAUGCUAAUUGUAAAAAAAAAAAAAAUUAAGCACAUAAAUAUCUUUUUUUUU